rnacentral:lncRNA from 1 species
UAUUUAUCCUUGGGGAUCCGCCAUUAAUCCUCUUUUUCAACAUCUGUUUCUUCCUCACUUUCCCCUCUUUCUUCCGUUGUUGGGGAACAUAUACACACUCAUAUUUCUUUAUGACGGGAGGAGUAUUUACAACUUAACACCACUACUACUACUACUACUACUAGAAGACUUGAUUCUCCGCUUAAUCUCUUUGUCCAACGCUUCCUGCCCUCCAACUUGUUCAACUUCCUGCAAUACAAUCCACUCCAUAUAUUCAUAUUCCCGCCAUAUAUAAAAAAGAAAAAUCACAAAAACCAUAGCUAACCGAUCGAUCUCACAAUUUCAUAUCAUGUUUUAAUUUUUGAGAUGAUGAUUGAUGGAGGGAGUAUAUUACUUUACUGCUUUAAUUUUUAACUUCUUCGUAAACACUAAAAACAAUCAAUCACAUGAAGAAGAAUAGAGAAGAGCAAUUAAGUAGGUACCUUAGGACCCAAAAACUGCCCAUAUGGAACUCCAUCGAACUUUUUCAUGUGAUGCAGCUAUUACGUAAACCACACACACAUAAUUUCAUUAAUCUAUAUAUCAUCAUUAUCUGUUCCUACUACUUUACAUUACUAAUAUAUAUAACUUUUUACAUUACUCAUUCUUGUAUACGUAAAAGCAAAAAGUAGUCUUAUAUGUUUAAUUUCAUGUAACUAUUUUCCUGAAUCAGUGAGAAUAACUAAACGAGAGGAGAAAGACCAAUUAGGGAUAAAUAAUGUAACCAUAUCAAAAUCAGAACUAUUUCCACUUUUGAUUUUAGUCGUUAACAAUAAAUUCUCAUUUUAAUUUUACAUUAUUAAUCGAGGUUAUAAUUAAUAAAAUACGUAUAAAUUUAAAAUUGUUUAUAACUUUAUUUCAUAAAUUGAAUUUUCAUCACAAUUCAAUUUUAUCCUUACUGUACAUAACAGUUAAUAUCAAUGUAGAUAUUAAAACUUAGUUAUUUCAAACUUUUUUCAAUUCUAAAAUUCACAACCUUUAUCAUCUAUACUUAUAUUCACUAUACACCAUUAGCAUUAUAUUAAUUUACUUUACAAAGUAAUUAUAAAAUUACAUCUCGUAUUCAAACGAAUACUUUUAUCCAACCUCUAUUUAUUGAGUGAUUUGACGCUUGUACAACUCGAGCAAAUUAUAUAUUAACAACUGGCACCGGCUUGGUACGAACUAAAUUUAAUAAAGCAAUAUCAUCAUGUCGCGUUCUGAAUAUUCAUUACUAAAAUCGUCUGAUAAAUCACUUUUAUCUAUAAAUUAUUUGUAAGGUUGAGCACGACGGCCCAACAAGUCUAAUAGUUUACACGUUUCAUGGUUCACAUAUCAUACAUACUUGGCAUUUUUAUUCAUGCAUCAUGUUCCUCAUGCUAUACAUUUUAUAUAUUCAUCAUAAAUCUUAUGCAAUGCGUCUACAUAUGCUUCAUGUAUAUAUCUCAUAAUAUCCAUUUGUAUAUGCAUCAAAUAUUUCAUACUACAUAUCUACAGAAUCACAAGUUCUACUAUAACACCCCCUUUUCGAAAUAGAAAGAGAGGUUACACAGAACAACAAAACUAAUGAAUUCAAUAGCAAAUCUCAAAGCCACAAAAGAAUAAUCUUAAUAUCUGAUUAAAACCACAAGUCAACCAUAAUAGAUAUCAAACUGCCUCAAACCACAAUCUAAAAUAAUUAUUACAACUCCGAUAAACUAUUAGAUCACAACCUAAACAAAAUGUUUAAACCAUUUGGAUAAAAGGAAGCUCUCGUCACACUUGCCCUUGAUCCCCUUGAUUACCUGCCGGAAGAAAAACACAGCAUGAGCCAAAUGCCCAGUAAGAAUAUAGAAUACAAGAAAUGAACCGAAAUAACUAACUCAAUUGAAUGAAUUGAAAUAAAACGAACUGAAACGAAACGAACAAAACUAAAACAAUAAAAUGAUAGGCUGAAUCAAAUGGCUGGGUGUUAUUUCAUACCAAGCUCAAAAUAAAUAGUAAUAUACCUUGCCACACAGGCAAGUCAAAUAAUACCACACAGGCAAUCAAAAUAAUGUCACACAGGCAAUCACACAUCGGACUGCGCAAUCCAGAUUUAUGCAAAUUCGGAAGGCGUGUUUGGCACAAACCACUCCGCAGAACAGAACAGAACAUAAAACCAGGGUCGACCCAUACGCCUCCCACAACAAAAUAUCAAAUGGCCAACUCCCAACGGAGCACAAAACGAAGACGUCGUAGACUGAUCACACCGCCACGGAAGGUGUCAUGCCUUGGUGCCAAGAGGACAUGCAUGUGGUACCCCCACAGGUGGUUAUAGCUCAGGUAUACCCUACGGUAUUCUAACAAAAUAUAAUGCCACAACACAUGCGACACAACAAAGGGGUUCUAACACGUACAUGUUAAACUGAAACGAAAUAUCAACACAAAGUCUCCAAAAAUAUUAACAUGUACUUUCUACAAAGAGCGAAAUAAAUAUGAACCAUACACACUAGACCAAAGAGUACAAAAACUAGUUUCAAAUACUAAUGCCAAAAUGAAACAUUCUCACGAAUUUAAGAAGGAACAAUCAUGUGAAACAAUAACAAAUUUCUAAACGAAAAGGAAACGAACAAAUCAAAAUUAAAGGAUUAUCGCAGAAAGAGUACGGAAUCCGUACCUGGAUUAAGCAAUGUAAUACCCAAAAUUAUUAUUCCAAUAUAGUUCGUUAAAUUUCUUCCGUUCGAUCUAAUUAAACAAAAUAAUAAAAAUAAGUUAAUAAACUAUGCGUUAAAUUAUCAAUUACAAAUUUACUUUUCCUAAAGCUAUUAUUACUAUUAUUAUAAUUAUUAUUUUACAUGUUUUUACACUUGUAAACUAACUGAUCUUUCAUGUUAGUAAUAUGAUGGGCACAAUAUAUAUAUAUAAUAUCUAAAUUAUUAACAUGAAUCAAGUAUUCUAAAGCAGUACAUAGUUAUGCAUAUGAUUGCUAAAGCAAUCAUAUGUACAUACAUAUAUAUAUAUAUAUAUAUAUAUAUAUAUAUAUAUAUACAUCUGGUAUUAUCAAUUGAAUAUAUAUAAAUAUAUUUAUAAUGAUUGCUAGCUACCCCCAAUAAUUCUGAUAACAAAAUAAAGGCAGAUUUACAUGUAUGAUAGAAAUGAAUUUCAAUUCCUCUUCCUCCUCUUAUGUUGUCGUCGUAGUUCUUCUGUUCUUUUCCGCCUCAGGCACAAUCAAUUUUAAUCCGAACAGAACUAAUUAACAUAGGGUUAAGUUUUAGAUAUUUAUUUAUUAAUUACCCUUUUUUUAUAUAUAUAUUUUACCAACUCUCCUAAUUUUGAUAGAAUUUUAAUUUGACCCACAUAUAAAUUAAAUCAAAUUAAUUUUAUGGCCCAAUUUUAUCAACUUAAUUUAUUCAUCAUUUAUUAAUACUUAUUAGCCCAAAAGUAAACGACUAGUUUGACCCAAAUAAAAGAUAAAGUGCAAUUAAUAUAAUUUUAAACAAAAUAAUUUUUAUUAUUUAAUUAAUUUUUUUUCGGGUAUUACAUCUACACCGAACAAUAUAAUCACAUAGUUACACAACGUGCACACUUUAAACAUGCUCACAUGUAAUUCACAUAAACACAUAAUUGAGCAAUCACAUCAUGUAUAUCGACAUAUUCAAAUAGUUCAACAAGUUACUAAAAGAACUUGCCUCUAUUUUUGUUUAUCCCAAUACGUUCCCAAAAUAUUCAUCAAACGUCCAUUGCACAACCUCUAUCAUUAAUUGCUUAACAUUUCUCGUAGAUCAUUCUUUAUUGCAUACCCUAUAUAUAUAUAUAUAUAUAUAUAUAUAUAUAUAUAUAUAUAUAUAUAUAUAUAUAUUAUCAAAUUAUAAUAUUAAUAUAGGGAUUACCAUAUUACCCUUCCUUAGUUUUAUUCAUCCACUUUUAUUGCAAAUAAGUCGAAAAAUUAUAUUAUGUAACUUUUUCAAUCAAUCUUUAAUUAUUUAUUUCUUACUUUCCUUACCCCCAACAUAUUUAUCAAAAAAACUUAAAUACCUUAUUAUUUUUAUCCCUUCUGAGCAUGCUUAGUUAAUAUUAUUUAACAUUCAAAAUAUUUUUUCCUUUAUUUUUCAGCUUUAUUUAUUAUUUUUAAAAGGGCCAUUUAUGCUCAAAAUUGCAGCAUUUUUAAUAAAUUGAAUUUUUGUCCAAAAACCCUAAAAUUUACAUGGAACCUUUGUCAUAUCAGUACACACUUCAAUUAAAUAUUUCGUAAUUUUCUGGGCUGAGCAGCUCUAGAUAUUUCAGUUCCAUAUUUUAUUUCCUAAAAUUUCAUUUGGUCAUAACUCUCGUCUCGGAAGUCAAAUUGAACCCAUUUUCGGACUAGAACUUGGUACUGUGUAUUUUCAGAACCCAAAAGGGCCUAAUUUUUGGUACAUGCUAACUGGCCGAAGAUAUGUGCUGCAUUGCUAAAAUAUUUUGGGAACGUUUAGGGAUAAACGUUAAGCAAUUUUGGGAACCCUCUCGCUAGAACCCUCUCCCGCUAGAAUAGCCAUAACUAAUUCGUUUCAAAAUAUUUUUGUGCCCAAACGUAGCUAAUUUCUAGGGCUAAAACUUUUAUGCUUUAACCAUUCUCAAAUUGGAAGGGCCGAAUCUGAUUUUCCAAAUUGGACAGUUUUGAUGCGCUUACCUUGGGAUAGUGAUGCACAACAGGCCGGCCUGGUCCGGCCUAAGCCGUUGACCAGGUCAGGUCUUGACUUUUUGAUUGCAGGUCGGGCAAGGCUGGAUUUAGAACAAAAAAAUGCAACCUAUUGAGGCCUACAGGCCAAGCCGAGCUUGGCCUCAUUAGGCCCAAGUAAGUGCUCUUUACUUCAAAAAAUUUAAACUCAGUUUCUCCUUUAUUAAAGAAAGGCAGGACAAAAAACUUUUUACUAGACUAUAUGGGACUAUGCCCAAGCUUAGCCAAACCUCCAUUUACUUUGUUUUAGACUAUGUGAGAGUGGGACUAUGUCAUGCUUAGCCAAACUUAACACAAGCUCAAGUGCAUUGUAUUUGAAAUUUUUGAACUUGACCUCUCCUCUAUUUAUAGAAGAAAUGUAGGGACAAGAGAUGUUAACUAGACUAUGCGGGACUUUGAAACAAAAAUGCAAUUGAAUUAAAUGCCUCUCAUUCUUAUAGUUUGCUAUUAAACUUGUGUUUCUUGAGGUGCCAAUGUGGGACAAAACACAAAGGUAGAUGUGUUACUUCUUCCUUUUACCAACAGCUUUAGAAAAUGAAGGUAGAUAUAUUAAUCACGUGCUGCAUUGCUAUACAUAAUUUUCAAGAAACAGUCACCACCAUCAUUACAAAAUAAUCCAAUGUCCAUAUAGUUUACAAUGAAAUUAAUUCUUAUUUACUUGCAAGUUAAAUAAAAACAAAUAAAUUUUGAACAAACUACUUGCAACAAAUUUUGAACAAGAAAAUCAAAUUCACUAAUUGAAAAUUAAACCAAUUGUUAUACCCAACACCCCCAGAAAUAAGGCGAAAAAUCUACGAAAUGGAGUUUUAUAAGAACACUGGUCUUGUGGGUUGAAACCUUUAGCUAACAGAUGAUAUAUGGAAACAUGGAGGAAAACUCCACAAGCAAUCCCCUGCGUAAGAGCAUAGAUCCAAUCGGCUGCACCUCUUUGAGCUGAUUCUUUAAUAAUAAGAGCUAUUACUAUUCCAAUCGGGGUUGAAAUUGCAAAGGCAAAAGAGUAUGCCACGCUUGUCAAAAAUGGCCUGUAUAGUUGCAUCCUCAGCACUGCAAUAAUGCAAAAUUAUAUGAGACUAUAAUCUUGUAAAUGUUAAGUCUAUAAUCUCAAAGUCCCACAUCGAAUUGAACUUGAAUUGAAAAUAAGACUUCACUCUAUAAUAGCAAUCCUAAAUUUCAAUGUUUAUCUUGUAAAUGUUAAGUCCCACGUUGAAAGUGGGAUGCAAGUAUAAGGAGGAUUUCCUUAUAAAAAAAACUUGCUAGUAUGACUCAACUAAAGAUUUUAGACUGGAUAGGUCGCAGGCCGGAUUAGGUUGCCUGACUAGUCCAGGCUACAAACAAGGCCGGUUCAAGCUAUAGACCUGGCCGUAGGCUAGGCCGGGCCAGGCUUUUUGGAAGGCUAGGCUAGGCCGGAUAUGAGCCAUUAAUUUAUUGUCUGUCCUUGGUCUAUUAGGUCGGGCCUGACCGGGCUAGACUUUGAUCAGGCCGAGCUUUGACCAGGUUGGGCUUAGGCCGGAUCAAGGCCAAGCCACAGGCCGCAGGCCAUUUGUGCACCACUACUUUGGAACGUCAUAACUCGGUCUUCCGAACUCGGAAUGAGUCUGUUCUAGAGGCUACGACUUCCUUAUUCACUAUAAUAAUAUACUACUUAAGAAACCCAAAAUUUUUUGGAAAGUAUAGCUAGUCCCAAAUUUGUCUUUAGGGCAGUCGGUUUUAACCUCUUCUACUAAAACAUUCACCAUAAAUUCAUUUUAACUUCUUUUUGAUUCAUUCUAAUUGGAUUAUUUCCAUAACACAUAGGAGUAUAACAUACUACUAUAGAACUUAAAUUUCAGACGUGAAACAUAACCACAAAAGCUCCAAAACAGUCCAUAACAGUCCUCUAAUUGUCCAUUUCCAUCCUUUAUAUAAGCAUAGGUUCAGAUUUUGGUUAUUUUGAUUCCACUUUAAUGAUUUUAAUGGUCAUUAUAACAUCUGAACAUCAUUCUCAUGAUGCUUCUCAACUCAUAAAACUCAAACAACAACAAUAUUUAACAAGAUAUGAAGUUUAAGAGAUAAAAUGGAAGUUUAAAGUUUUAGAACUUACUUAUUUGAUUUCUUCCUCUUAAUUAGAUGCUAGAUAACGUUGUUAGAGCUUGCUAGGAUCCUCUUUCCUUCUUCCUUGAGUAUUCAUAAACCUCUUCCUCAAGUUUUAACUCUCACCCAUUUCUUUUUUUCUCAUGGUUACAAGAUGAAUGAGGAUGGAGAAUGGCUUGGUUUUGUUAACUGACUUCUUCUCUUUCUCUCUUUGCCACAUUCGAACUUCUCUCUUCCUCCUCUCCCAACUCUCUUCCUCACUUUGCAAAUAAAUAAAAUGAACUUGAGAGUAAAGGAACGGAUGAUACUUGGUGGGAAUCAUUGAGUUAUACAAAACUUCUUGGAAAGGAGAUUGAGAAGGAUGUUGACAAGAUUAGAUUUUCCAUACAUGGAAGUUGGAGUUUUAUCUCCUUAAGACCCAUUUGGUUCGAAUAAUUCCUCUCUCUUAUCCGGCUCCUUCUCCUUAUUCCCACAUUUGCUAACUUAGAAGAAUAUGCCCGAAAUUGGGCUUUACUUUGGGCUUAACUUGGGAAUUAAUUUGGAUUAAUUACAUAUAUUAGUACAUUUUUAAAAAUAAUUACAAAAAUCAUACAUCUAUAAAAUAAUUACAAAAAUACUAUAGUUCAUCAUUUUUAUUUACAGUACUAAUACAAUUAAAAGUCCUUAAAUUAAGGGAUUAAUAUUAAUGGGCUGACAUGGCAAAUUAGUUUCCAUCUUCCUCAAACAUUCUUUUCUCGUUCGGUCUCCCUCUCCGCCCUUAAUUGUCGAUUAAUAUAUCGUCAUUCCGAUCAUCUUCUUCACCUUUAUAAGCUUCGUAUAUGAUCUCCAAUGGCGCUCUCAUAUUUCACUCGACAAAAGAGUCGGCGUAGAACGGGUUUGGAUCAUACCCAGAUCCCGAAUUCGUAUCGCAUGAAUCCCAAAUGUGAUUAUCAUAAUUAUAAUCAUCCGUUAGUUGUUCUUAUUCCUGUUAUUGGUUCCUGUUGUUGUAGUAGUAAUCAUCAUAUUCUCUCUCACCCACACCAAAUUGACAGUUCAAACUUGCAUAUUGUCAAAGAGAUGGCAGCACAUCUGGGCAACUAUUCCCCAUCUGAAUUUGUACAAAUACAAUUUCGGGAGUUGCGCUAAAUUUUCCCUAUUUUGUACUUUGAUUUUGUUGGAUAUUCAUAACCAUUUGUUAUGGUUAGCGAGUCUGUAAUGUUUUGUUGGAUAUUCAUAACCAUUUGUUAUGGUUAGUGAGUCUGUAAUGUUUAUUGGAGUUUAUGUAACUGGGUUAGAUAUAUAUACAGGUUGUUUAUGUUUUGGUUAUCAUUAUUAAAACAUGUUCUGGUUACUUUCAUAUAACUAUUUGGUUACUUAUUUAAUAUGUUUUGGUUACUGUUAUCUUAUGGUUUGGCUACUAUUAUUGUGCCCUCAAUGUGGGAUUUUUGUUACUUUUAUUUUUUAUUCUGGUUAAUAUAUAAUUGUUUAGUAUAUAUGGAUUGCCUAAACUGAGUUUCAUUACAUGAUAUUUCUGUUUUGGUUACCACAUUAAAACUUGUUCUGGUUACUAUCAUAUAAUUAUGUGGUUACUGUUUUAUUAUGUUACAUUAUGGUUACUGUUAUUAGUAACCAGAUAGUUACAAGCUUGUAUCAAGACAAACAUCAAGUGUUAAAUGUACACAUGAGAGUGUCUUAUUUAUCUAGCUGAUGUAUACUUAUAAAUUACAUACUCAUAAAAAUUAUCUGAAAAUUAUAUAGUUGGUAUUUAAAUCUGCAUAUAGAGGUAACCAUUUUAUUUUUUUAUAAGUAAUCAAAUUUACAUAAAAUUGGUUCAGAACAAUAUCCAUCAACUAUUUCAAUUAAAAUGUUAGUUUGGUAUCCAAACCUACAUAUAUGGUAACCAUUUUUAUUUGUGUUAGUAACCGGAUAAUUAUAAGUUUGUAUCAGGACUGUUAUAAAGUGUUAAAUGUAUAUGUUUUAUUUAUACCCUGUCAUCAUAAUGAAAUAAGAAACUCCAAUUAAGAGUUCCCAUUUAUAUAUAUGAUGGUCACUUAUAGAUCUCAUAUAUUAAAAUAAAAAUAGUUUGAGAGGUGCAGUUGGUAACCAAACAUGUAUAUAAGGGUAACCAUUUUAGUUUAUGUUAGUAACAAAAUAAUUAAAAACUUAUAUCAGAACAAUUAUCAAGUGCUUAAUGUUCAUGUGAGGGUUUCCAUUUAUCUAGCUGAUGGAUACUUUUAAAUUACAUAGUUAUAAAAGCUAUUUGGAAAUGGUCCAGUUGGUAACUAAAUAUGAAUAUAGAUGUAACCAUUUUAUUUUAGAUGGGUAACCAAAUUUACAUAAAAAUGUUUCAGAAUGGUUACCAAUUGUUUAAUGUAUAUGUUUACUUUAUAUUGACAACUCAUGAUGGAAUCAAAAAUCAAAAUAUUAAUCAAUAACAAUUUUGGUUAUUGUACACCAUCAAAAAUGUUACCAACCAUGUGGUUAAUGGUUACUAACAGUAAACAAUUAUAUAUUCCUGUAUUUACACUCUUUUUGUUUAUGUUCCGUUGAAAUAAAGCACAACUGAAAUCAUCUCCAUUGUCUGACAACUGAAUAAACAUUGUAAAGUAACCAAAUCAAUAUUAUACAGUAACCAAACUACAUAAUCUUAGUAACCAGAACAUAAACAAAAAAUUUACAUGCAAUUUUGGAGGCCUAAAUGAUGGAAUUUGACCAAAAAAACCCUGUAGUUCAUGAGCUAAGCUCGUGACUUUUGAUUGUUGACCCGUUUUCAAUGAAAUUAGACUCCGAAAACACCAAAAUCUGACACUUCAAACUUGACAGAAAUUACCAAAUUGUCACUGAAUCAAAUCUUUCCAUAGUAUAUCAAAUCUUUCCUUAAACUGAAUCAAAUCUUUUCAUAAACUGACACGCCUGCUCUUCAACAACAUGAGUUUGUUACCAACUAAAGACUAACAGUUAUAUGAAGUUAACCAACGUAGUCAAUAAGUAACCACCAAUAUAAAACACACUAAUAUUAUACAAUAAUCAUAACAACAUUAUACAGUAACCAAAUUUAGAUUAGACAGGUAUCAACAUAUAUCUAUUUAGUAACCAGAACAUAAACACAUUUUUCAUUGCAUUUUACAGUAAAAAACAACCAGUAUAAUGUGUUUGUUACCAACUAAAGACUAACAAUUGUAUGAAGGUAACCAAUGUAGCUAAUAAGUAACCAUGAAUAUAAAAAACAUCAGUACAAGUGUACAUUAAUAUUAUUCAGCAGCCAAAUAAAUGUUAUACAUUAACCAAUUAAAUAGUAUACAUCAACCAAUAUAUAUAAUCAGAUUAACAGUUGUAUGAAGGUAACCAAUGUAGUCAAUAAGUAACCACCAAUAUAAAAGAAACAAUUAUAACACACAAUAACAUUAUACAGUAACCAAAUAAACACCUUACAGUAUCUAAAUACAUAUUAAACAGUAACCAAGAUAUAUGUAAUUAGUAACCAAUAUUAUAAAAAAAUAUUUUUACAUUCAUUUUACAACCAAAACAAUCAGUAAUGACUUUGUUACAAAUUAAAGACUAACAGAUGUAUGAAGGUAACCAAUGUAGUUAAUCAGUAACCAUCAAUAUAAAAAAAAUCAGUAUAAAACACAGUAAUAUAAUGCAGUAACCAUGGUAAUAUUACACAGUAACCAAGUCAGCAUUAUAUACUAACCAAAUCCAAAUUAGACAGUAACCAACAUAUAUUUACUUAGUAUCCAUAUCAUAAAACAUAUUUUUCCAUUUAUUUUACAGCAAAAACAAACAAUAUAAAAAACAUCAAUAUGUACUUAAAGAUCCAACAGUUGCAGGAAGGUAACCAAUGUAUCUAAUAAGUAACCAUCAAUAUAAAAAAUAUCAGUAGAAUAUACAUUAAAAGUAUACAGCAACCAAAUAAACAUUAUACAGUAACCAAAUUAAUAAUAAACAGUAACCAAUUUAUAUGUACUUAGUAACCAGAAUAUAAAACAUAUUUUUACAUGCAUUUUGCAAUCAAAACAGUCAUUAUACUGUCUUUGUGACCAAUUAAAGAGCGAAAAACUUAAGAAAGGUAACCAAUAUACGAGUAUAUAGUAACCACGGGGUAGCUAUAUGCAUAUAAACUUUAAACUCGAAUACCUCAGUAUACAAAUAUGUAAAGAAUUAAUCAACAAUCAACAAUCAGUAUAGUACGUAAGUUUCUGGUUACUGAUUGUAAAUCGAAAGAAUAAACACAAUAUAUACUUACAUAUGAAACUUCAUAAUGUUGCUUGACGAUCUCGAAGUUGAUGUCGAUCUUCUCUGAUUUUUUCCGAUCUCGAAGUUGCUGUUGAUCUUCUCCAAUUUUUUUCGAUCUCAAAGUUGCAUCGCCGUCAGAGAAUUCGUCUUCUCCGAUCUGUGUCGUUCUAUUUUUCUUCAUGAUCGGUUGAUUGCAAAUAUGAAAAUAGGUAACUGACGUGUGGGGAGUUAAUGUUCCGUAAUUUUAGCAACUUAUUAUUGUGUUGAGUUAUUUUUGUAAUUAUUUUGUGGAUGUAUUAUUUUUAUAAAUACUUUCUAAUUGUUGUAUAUUAGUGUUAAGGACCCUAAAUUUUCUAUGUAUGCUUGCAAGCUUAUCUCUAAGUGUUAUGGGUCAUUGCUACAUUAGACAGGUGUAUUGAGGCCAAACAUAACACCUAAAUCCAGCCCCUCCUUCAGUCAUAUUUAGGAGCCCAAAUGGGUAUAUAGAGAGCUGAGUUUUGUGAAGACAGUUCAGUUGUUACGUUAGUUUAGUUAGGCAGAGUGGAUCAGUUAAUAGUCAAUAACUUGCCACCAAGAACAAGGGAAAGGGCAACUAUGGGGCAGAGGUCUGACACUUUUAAUAGGGGCUGGGUAGACUAGACUAGAAAUUAUUGUUGAGAGCUUGAUAGGGUGGCUGUACAGAGGCCAAAUAGAGGCUAAUAGGACUGCCAGAAAAAGGAGAUAGCUCAUCCAUUAAAGGCAGCCCCUCACCCUCAUCCCAGCCAGUCAUUCAAGGAAAAUUCUGGGUUCUAUUUUGCUACAGAGCUUCCGGUUGGAAAGGAAGGAAAAUUAAACUACCAAACUACCUAAAUUUUUAAAAGCUAGCAAGGUAAGCCCAUUUAAACUCCUUCCAUUCUUUUUCCAUUUCAUUGUUAAUAGCAAAAUGGACUGUUUUGGCCGAAUGGUCUGGAUUGGUCAUAAAGGGCUAUUUCACUAUUACAAUGAUUGUUAUUUUGGAUUUUUGAAUGUUAUGUAACCGUUAUAAGGUCUAAUUGUUGCUGUGAUCAUUGCAUAAGCUGACUAAUGGUCGGGUGGCUUAAUAGGGGCUGAUAUAUAGAAUUUGAUAGUGAAUUGCUUUAUGACCAUAUUAGUAAUUGUUAAUACUGAUUGUGGGUUUUCUAUAAUGACUAUUUUGAAUAAGAUGGUUGUGUUUGCUAUGGUUGUCGUUAUGCUUGACUAAUAAUAGAAUCAUUGUUGUUUUAAAGCCAUAAGGCUGGGGUUAAAGAGCUAGAAGCAUGUGUACUAUAUGCCAGUAUGUGGACUGACCACCAUCUGUUUGAUAAAGUGACUAAAUGAGGACUGAAAUGUGUGAAAUGUGUUAAGCAAGUUAACUGUGUAAUAGAGUCUAAGAACAUGUUUAUUUGCUAAAAUGGAAUGUAUCCAUACUUCAAGUGUGCUCUACACUUAAGUAUACUAUGUUUUUAAAAACCACUUACACACAAUGCUAGCUAUGUUAAUGAACAAAACAAAAGUAAUUUUUUACUGUUUAUUAGGAGCUGAUUAUGAUUAAUUUGUCAUAUUUUAAAGGUUGUUUUCAUGCUAGGUAUGGUGCCAAAAUGUACUAAACCAUGAAUGAUAAAAGGGUAGAGCUUAAAGGGUAAUUGCAACUUGAAAAGAACCUAAAAUAGGGCAGGGCCUAUUUUGAACAGGCCAGACUCAGCCCCUAUUUUAGGAAUAUUUGGUAUACUAUUUAUGAAAUUAAGAAGCUUAGAAAAAGGACUGUUGUGGACUGUUAUGUGUAUAAUGUUUUAAACCAUCCAAAUCAAAGAUAUACAUGCUAAAUGUUAUGUAAAUAGCUAGUUCAUGUUUGUAUGUCACAUAAUCAUAUUGUUGAUUAGGUUGUCAACCCAUGUUUUCAUGAAAGUAUAAAGCCUACUAAAGGCUUUUUUGAACAAAAUCUUAAGGUAUUACAUCCAUAUGUUUUUAACCAUGAAAAAUAUAGUAUAUAGCAAGUACUUGUUGUGAUAAUGCAUGAAAUUCAAUGCUUGGUACUGUUUUGGUGUAAUGGUACUAAAUCAUGCCUAAAGUGCUCUAUAUGGACUAUUUUGGGUAUUCAAAAGAUGACUGACCUUUGCAAUUAUAAAUAAGGAAAUAAUUCUAUGUUAUAAGCAUGUUUUGAGGAUUGCUUGAAUACUUAAAGUUCCCUUUUACCUACAUAAGGACUAUUAUGAAUUGUUAUGUAAAUUUCAUACCUAAAAUGUCUAGAACUGGACUGUUUUGUGCUAAUGGUUUAACUAUUUAUGCAAACAUGCUAAAUUCCAUGAAAAUGAGAUAUACUAAUGGUUAGGAGCUUGCAAGAAUGCUUAGAUAUCUAAAGAAGCAUAGCUUGGGACUGUUUGUGAAAAAGAAGAAGCCAAAACAGUGCUUAAAUCCUACAAUUAGGAACUGUUAUGGUCUAUUUUAUCUACUCUUGUUAUAAAUCAUUAAAGUGUAUGUACAUUGUCUACAUAUAUCAUUUAAAAGUUGUUCCUUAAGUUAGUUAAGGUCUACAAGGUAUGUUGUGCAAAUUCAUGCUUAAAAACCAAUAAAAGUAAGAUUUAAAUAGCAAUGAACACCAAAAUGAAGAACCACCAUACCUGGACCAUAUAGAAAAGUUCCAAUAGCUAAAAUAUGACCCAAGUAAGCUACACAAGCUAAAGAAACCAAGUCUAAACUGUUUUGAGCAUUAGACUUGUUAAAAAUCAUAUUUUAAGCCAAAUAGUGGACUGUUUUGGGUGAUUGUUAGCACCUGAACUUAAGGGGCUGUGAUAAACUCAUAUAAAGUUUCUAGUGUAUGCUUAUAAUGGUUUCCAAUCAGUACCAAGACCAAAGUUAGCAAGAAAAGCAAGUUAGAAUCCAUUUUUCAAGCCUAAAGUGAGCUUUGAUAGGUCAAAAUUGGCUAGAUGAUUAAAUAAAGUGUGGUGAUGCUAAAAGUAUCUUUAAGUAACUUAAAUACACAUGCCUAGGCUAUUCUAGUGGCCAAAACUAGAAAAAUUUGGACAAAAGUUCAAAAAUUGGUUUUGUAAAAAAGUGAGAAAACUGCCAAGUUUGAGCCCUGUUUUGGGAAGCUUAAUGGGUAUGAAAAAGAAACCUAAACCCUGAUUAAAAUACCUUGAUGUACGAUCUAAAAUUAGGCUCAAAUGGUUGAGCCAAGAUCUUAAUCCAAUAAUUCAAACAAAUAACCAAACUAGGCUAGAAAAUCAUUCUAACUGCAGUUUUGGAAAAUUUUGCAAGUAUAAAAUUUGAGAUUUUGCCAUUUUGCUUAGAACUCCGUUUUAACACCUUAAACAAAUUAUUUAGAGGCAUGCUAGGAUAUUCCAAGUUUUGGAAUGCUAAUAUAUACAACUUCAGAAAUUAGUAUGUAAAAACUUGAAAAAGCUAGGUUUAGAGGGUCAAAACCAAAUCUAUGCUUAAUAAAGUCAAAGGAAUGCUUAAACUAGUCUUAACUAGUAAUAAUUCAAGUUUUGGAAUGAACCCAAGAGGCCAGAAAUGAAAAUGGCAAGAAUUGACUGAAGUUAGUAAACUAAAAACUGUGGAAAACACCUAGUUUGGGCAUGAGUUUCAAGAAAUAUAAAAGGCUUACUUGGAAACCUUAACCAACACAAAAAAAUACUUUGGUAUAUAUGCUAGAAGUAUGUCCAGAUUUCUGGUCCAAAAGCCUAAUACAAAAAUUCCUAAAAAUCAUCAAAGUAGCCUCGAAAUUCAUAAACGUGCAGUUUCCUUAAGAAAUUGUUAAGAACAGCCCAUUUGAGGCUUGUUUUUGAAUUGUCUAACUUGAUAGUUUUUAUGAUUUAAACCAAGGAUAAAAUACUUUGGUAUGGGGUCUAUAAAAGUGUACAAAUGAUAGGUUCAAAAGACUAUCAUAGAAUAUUCUAAAAAUUAUCAAAGGUGCCUCAAAAAUCAUGAUUUUGAGUUAUUGAAAUAUAUUUUUAAAAGUGAAAUUUAAGACUUGUAAAUGUCCUAACAUGACUAAAUAAGUUAAUAAAAGUAUGUUAUGUUCUAAGAUCUAUAAGAUGACAUGUUUAGACAAAAAAAAAACAAGUAUGCUUUAUGAUAUAUAUGAACUUUAUAGGUGAUGUGUGCCUAUGUGUGUUAGUUGUAUGAAAGUGUCAUAUAAACUAAGCUAUAAAAAGGUGUUGCGAUAAACUAUAUGCCUACGUGUACUAAGUUAUAUUUGCAAAUAAAAGCUGAAUGUAUACUUGGCUAAUGUUAGUAAAUAACAUACAUGUUAGUUAUUGGAUAUGGCUUCAAUAACCAUAGUAAAGUUGUGUAUCCAUAAAUAUGGACUUUGUGUUACAACAUAACUAAGUAAGCUGAUAUUGUAUAUAUGUAGGUACAAUAUCAUGUAGGCUACUCUGUGGCAAGUUACUUUCUUUAUUAAAAGGUUUAAUCGACACAAGAGGCAAGUAUAUCAAACCAUUCUCUCUUAAAUAAGUUUAUAUUGCAGUAUUUAACUCAAAAGCUAUCUUUUCAAGUUAUUCAACUUAUUGUACUUUAAUGCUUCAAAUUCAGUUAUUCUGAUGAUAUUGAAAGAAUGUCAAUGCCAUUAUUUCGGCUAGAAAACUGUUGAGAUAUAUUGAUAUUAUUCAUUCAUGAAAAUCUCAUUUAAUGUUCUCUAAACCAUUUUGUUGUGGUGCGGACUCUUAUAUAAUGUUGUGAAUGAACAACCCUUUUAUAGGGGCAUAUUGUACUGGACAUAUGAUUCCGAAGGACAUGUAAUAUGUCAUCAAACUGUUAUGUUGUGUACAAUAUAGGGUAUUCAGGUUGAUCCCCUAAGGUACAAGUCUAAGAUAUAUCAGUUUUAAUAACUGUUUGCACCUAUUGAUUGCAGUUUUAGUACUGUCAAUUCUAAUACAGAGUUCACUGGUCAUUUGACCUUACAACAUGCUAAAGCUUGAUUCUUUAAACCCAAAGCUUAUCAAGAACUAUUUUUCUCAGUAUCUCAUGAUUUUAUUGCCUUUAUUGUAAAUAUUCUUGUUCCAUUAUAUUCAAUUGUUUAUUUUCUUGUUGAGCAAGCUUUUGCUCACCCUUGCGUUGAAUAUAAUGUUUUCAGUUAAAACCGAGAACGCUGGUACGUCUGGGAAAGAUAAAGGAAAAGGCAAAGUUGUAGAAUAAUUUAUUAUUAAGCGAUUGUGCUUAAAUGGACUUAAGUAGUUGAUGUAAUAAAUACCUUUAGUACUAUGUUUUGUAAUAUUAUUUAAUAUUUAAGUUAUGUAAAGGUCUAUAGAACUUGAGAUUUAAGUAAGAUAUUUAUGUAAUCUAAGACAGGUUUAAGUUAGUAUUUUUAUGGAAUGAAUGGAUAUGUUAGUAUCGUGAGCACCAAACCUGAGGUAAAGGUAACCCGAAUUUGGGAGCGUCACAUAUAUAGUGGGCCAAGGUCCAUGUGGAGUUAUUUUAACCCAUGUAGGAUUUUGUUUGGGCAAUGGAG